UACAGAGGGUGCGAGCGUUAAUCGGAAUUAUUGGGCGUAAAGGGCGCGUAGGUGGUUAGUUAAGAUUGAUGUGAAAUCCCUGGGCUUAACCUAGGAAUGGCAUCGAUGACUGGCUAGCUGGAGUACUGUAGAGGGUAGUGGAAUUUCCGGUGUAGCGGUGAAAUGCGUAGAGAUCGGAAGGAACACCAGUGGCGAAGGCGACUAUCUGGACAGAUACUGACACUGAGGCGCGAGAGCGUGGGUAGCAAACAGG
rnacentral:rRNA from 1 species